GAAGUGGAACAGACCGCCGCUGGUGCAGGGCCCGAAAGGGUGCACUGGAGGAAGGUCCGGACUGCACAGGGCGGCGUAGCAGCUAACGGCUGUCCACCGCGAGGUGAGGAUCAGAGCAACAGAGACGAGUCGGCCGGGGGCGCAAGCCCGCGGCAGGGUGAAACGGGCAAUCUCUACGCGCAGCAACACCAAAUAGGCCAGCGUUGAUGUGGCUCCGCGGAGCUGGCGGGUAGGUGGCAUCGAGCCGUGCAGUGAUGCACGGCCCAGAGGAAUGGCGGUCACGGCCGGCAUGUCGCAAGGCAUGCCGGCUGCACAGAAUCCGGCCUAUCGUUCCGCUUCACUU
rnacentral:RNase_P_RNA from 2 species